rnacentral:lncRNA from 1 species
AUUUUAAAGAUGCAAAUUCCAAUAUAGUUGUUAUCAGGUGGAAUGGCAAUAAUAUUGCUACGAUUACAUCGACUAAAUAUGGUUUAUUACCAAUGAUGAUUUGUAGCAUCCGAAAUGAAAAGAAUAAAAAUUCCGAUUCUUAAUGCAAUUCAUCAAUACAACUGCUUGAAAAUGGGAGGUGUGGAUAGAAUGGAUGAAAAUAUAUCAAUUUAUAGAACACGCAUUCGUGGCAAAAAAUGAAGUAAGAAGCUACGAGCUAUCACGUCCAUAACUACAUUAAAAAUAGUUUAUGUGAUUGCAAGAUUCGAUGGGUCUGGAGACGUUCACACCUGGAUUCGACUGGGAAAGUUGGCCAAGGUUUUUCUAAAGAUAGAAGACAUUGCAGGAGUGGUUCCGGUUUUUUAUGGAUGAAAAAGCAUUUUCAGUAUACGAUCAACUGGCUGAGAAGGGAGACGUUAUAGAUAUCUUUCGUGUUCUCAAGACCAUAAAUAUGCAAUUUUGUCAGAUGAUAGAUGACACAUUUUGGCUAAAUAAUUUACGUUUCAAACAACGGCGGCUAAAAGUACCGUUUGAAGAAUAAAUACGAUUUUAUAUUAAAAAUAUCAAGAAUAAAUAAUUAUAAAGUUUUCAACGACCAAAGAAAAUCCUUGUAACGGUCCUGACUCCCAUAUAAUUUGGAGUAUUCAUUCUUGAUUAGAGGUGGAAGUGUAUAAAAGAUGCCCUAGAAUAAGCGGUAGCCGCUUUUUCUAAUUUUUUAUUAAGAGUAAUAUUGAGGGGUUGAUCGGGAAUUAUAGGAGUAAGACUUUGCUGGACUCAGAGUAAAAUGGAAGAUCGAUAUCGAAGUACUUCUAGCCUAUAUUUCCUUUCUAUAUAAGGAGUGGGAUUUAUGGAAUGUUACUAGAACAAGUGACGUCAUUGCGACGAGUCUUGGUUCUUAAUACUACAUAAAUUUAAAAAGUAAAAAAUUGUGGUUACUCGAUAUUUCUUAAGCGAUAUCUUACUAAAUAUAAUGUCAAACGCCACUUAAACUACAAGAGUAUGUGCAGUGGCUAUUUGUAAAAACCCAAGAGGCGUUUCAAACCACUGAUUCCCUAAAGACCUUGCAAGAAGAAGGCUGGAUCUUGGCUUGUCGAAGAAAAGACGAAUUCAAUACUAAUGAAGCCAGAAUUUGUCCUUACCAUUUUGAUCUUUUGAUAAUUUAAUAACUUACAUUUAGCAUUUUAUUUAGUAAAAUGUCACUUCAGUAAAAUAUUCUUAUGAUACACUUCUAUGAUAAUGAAAUCAUUUAAAUAAAUUUUUACUUUUUAAA